rnacentral:rRNA from 1 species
GAUGAACGCUGGCGGCGUGCUUAACACAUGCAAGUCGAACGGAAAGGCUCCUGCUUGCAGGGGUACUCGAGUGGCGAACGGGUGAGUAACACGUGGGUGAUCUGCCCUGCACUUCGGGAUAAGCUUGGGAAACUGGGUCUAAUACCGGAUAGGACCGCAUUUUGGAUGGUGUGGUGGAAAGUUUUUUCGGUGUGGGAUGAGCUCGCGGCCUAUCAGCUUGUUGGUGGGGUAAUGGCCUACCAAGGCGUCGACGGGUAGCCGGCCUGAGAGGGUGUACGGCCACAUUGGGACUGAGAUACGGCCCAGACUCCUACGGGAGGCAGCAGUGGGGAAUAUUGCACAAUGGGCGCAAGCCUGAUGCAGCGACGCCGCGUGGGGGAUGACGGCCUUCGGGUUGUAAACUCCUUUCGCUAGGGACGAAGAGUAAUUGACGGUACCUGGAGAAGAAGCACCGGCUAACUACGUG